rnacentral:snoRNA from 1 species
CGGCUGUAGCUAAAUCAAAUAAAAUGGCUGAGAAGUUAACUGGCCGGUUGUCGUUAUACGGUCGACUAAUCUGCUUACCGAACUUCUUACAUUU